UCUACCAGACCGGACUCUACUGGACUGGCAGGGCUCUACAGUGCUCACAUUUUAGGAGCAUUUGCUCCUGAAAACUGAUGUGUGCUAACUGGAAAAGCAAUUUAGGAGCACAUCUACUAACGGGGAUGGCAUUAGUGUCAUCCUAAAUUUUUCAACUUAGGAGCAAGUGUGCUCCCUGGAACAAAUGUUAGUGUGGAGCCCUGACUGGACUCUACUGGGCCGGACUUGAGCAAAGCUUUCUCUUCUCAGUGUCAGAACCAAGGCUGGUCUAACCUGUGAACACCAUGUUUUUCCCCCAAAAAAUGUAGAUCUGUUUCAUGUGUCCUCACUAUCUAUGUAGGUACAUUCAUCUGUGUGCACGUGUGUGCGGGUGUGUGUGUGUGUGUGUGUGUGAGAGAGAGAGAGAGGGAUUUUGAAUGGCUGAUUUAACCAAACCUCAGUGAAGUUUCAGGGCUUGGGGGAAGUCUUGGCGUGCGGCUGGCCACAAUGAGCGGUUUCGUGACCAGGGAGGCACAGAGAAGACAGGCUGAGAAUGAGAAAGGUUUGAGAGAAUGCGGAAAGGUUUGAGAGAAUGAGAAAGGUUUGAGAGAAUGAGAAAGGUUUGAGAGAAUGAGAAAGGUUUUUAAUGGCAGGGGAACUCGGGAUCCACAUGGACUCGGCUCCGGGAGUCGAGCGACGCUGUCUCGCAGCUCGCGGGUGGAAAGAUCUGCACUGGAUGGCAAAAGCCAGGAUGUGUGAAGUUUGGGUCACAACCCUCAUGAUGGAACCCCCCCCCCCCCAGUGCUGUUAUCAGCAGCAGGUGAAGCCUGGAUGGAAGGUGUCAGGUCCAGACGAGGUAGUCGCGCGCAUGCCAGGCUUUUUGAGCGGAUGUUGCAACAUCACUCCGCUGCUUUGUGCUGAAUGCAGCGUCGGCCAUUCCUUAGGGUUCCCUCACCUAUAGGACAGGUAAAAAGACAAAGAGGUACUAAGAUGGUGGAUGCGCCAUUCUCUAUACUGGCAGCCAUGCGUUGUUGACCCAGAUGAACUCCCUUUAACCCUUUUUUUUGUGUGUGUGUAGAAUUACAACGUGAUUAGAAUGCUCUUUACCAAACUUUCUAAUGCUGAUGUCACAAUCACUACUGGUAAUUGAAAGCGUUCUAGAACAAGCACUUGGAAUUUUGAAGAAAAAAAAAAAACCUACUCUUCAAAGAGGCGUAGAACUGCUUAGCCAGAGCCAGAAUAACAAUAUUGACAAGUUCUUCUGGGGAUUGUGGAGUUGUUGAGGGUUCUUUUGUUAUUCUGAUCAGCGGCCUUAUUUGAGAUUUUCUUAAACAAAAAAAUUCUACAAUUAAUUUUAACAUUUUUUAAAAGCAAUUAAAAGUUAAUGUGAUGCGAUUGUAGGGAAGGAUGACUCUCCUCAAGUAUAGUGGAUUGCUAAAUCACCAGUUGAGGCUACCGAAUUUUAAUAACCGAAGACAGUGUAAAAUCAUUCUGAUAUUUUUUUUUAAAGAAGGAGAAUUUGCGUACCCUUGCAUAAUUAAUUGAAGACUUCAAAAUUCGGUGAUGAAGAUCCAGAGUGACGGAAGGCUCAGACACGAGUGGCUGCCUUUCACUGUCGGAGCAGUAGGGGGCAGAAACAGGCGUGGCUUGGGUUGGGUUCAGGAGGUCAAUGCCAUGACCAGUGCAGUACCCCCAGCUAACACAAAGUGUCCUCACAGUGUUGCUGCCAUGUCACGGCAAUGUCACAACACCCCGAUGACCUUGUGAGGACCUUGUUUGUGCUAGCUGGUCGAUCGGGACGCUGCACAGGAUGUGCAGGGUGUGACUGUGUCCUACGAAGCCCGGUGUGGGCCUGGAACACAGCCUGUGGGCCUGGAACACGUUUGAAACGCUUCGGCGGUAAAAUAAAAAUGGCUCCCUCCCAGACUAGAUCCCUGAGUAUUUUCUGGGAGGCUCCUUGUCAGCCGUUUAAAAAUGUAAAAAAAAAAAAACAUACCGUCAUACAGAAUAAGAACUUUUGUUUCCUCGUAUUUCGUGAUAGCGAAUGAUUUGUUUUAAUGUGUCCGUAAUCUGCGGGGGGGGUUUUUUUUUUGCCCGUGCCUGAAGAGUUGAGAUAUUUCAGACAGGUUGUUGGACACGGGAGCGCAGAGCAGAGGUGCCUCACCACGUUGGGUUCAGAAAGGCUGUGUGGUGAGAGCGCUAGGGUGCGGUUCUACUGCUCACGUUCUCCGUGGUUUGUGUUUUUCGCUGUUCCUCGAUUCUCCCUCCGUGUUCCAGUGUACGCGUGUUUGUGUCCUGUCUUGUGUGUAAGUGCGUAGAUUUAACAGAUUUAAUGACAAUAAUGCAACGAUAAGCCCCAUAAGUUUUUGUUUUUACAUUUAAAAAAAAACAAAAAACAUCUGAGAGUUGAAUUUAUAUUUGAAAAGGAUAAAAACUGGACAGAUUAUUUUUUUAACAAAGAUGGCAAAGAUGACUAGAGAGAUUUAUAAAGAUUUUAGAUGUUUAAUAGAAUAUAUUUCACUUUAUUGCACUGUUGACGCAAAACUCAAACCUGAGGCUUAUCCUGAGCAGUUAGCUUUCAUAGCUGAUUCGAGCCCGAUUACUGUAUAUGGAUAUUUGUAGAUAUUUAUGGAUCAUGGAGCAAUUAAGAAAUGCCUUAUUCAUAAUUGUUGGACAAUCAGUUUUAAAUAAGCCAGCGAUGCUAGUGUUAGGCAGAAGUGUUAUUCUGAGGUAGCUAUAUAUCUCUAACCUCAUUUAUUCUCAUAUGACCUACCUAACUCACAAGCCUGUAUCCAUCUAGGUAAUAGUAAUCAGUUAGCUAUGGUUGCUAACGAGACAUUAGCCGCCACGUUUUCUAGAAGAAUGUCCCGCCCCAUUAACCACUCGCCACAGUUCUAACUGGCUAGCUAGUCAAGCAGCUGUCUGGAGAAGCACAAAGCAUAUUCAUAUCAGAUAUUCAUUACAGUAUUUAUUUUUUUAUCAUUCAGUAAAAAUAUCUUGCUUGAUUGUAGGCCAUCUUGUCUUUUGAUAAUUUGAUGCCAUAUAAAGCGUAUUUAAUAGUGAUUUUUAAAUCAUGUAAUGCAUGUACACAUGCCAGUCUUACUAGUUAUGCCGGAAGAAAGAAGGGACUGAUUUUACUGAAAUACCUUUCUGUACUUCUUUUAGGAUAAAACUCAUAUUACAUG